UGCAGGAGAAAGAGGAAGAGAGCCCAGGCAACCCCUGGGCCGGCCAAGAAAUCCUGACCAUAACUGAGCCUAGGAUGCAAGAAAAGUUUAAAGAACCCACAGACCCUCUGGAAACUCACCUUGCCAUCUUCUCCAGCAGUCAGGAACCGGUCUCCAGCAUGCAAGAAAAGAACAGCAGAGACACAGCCACACUGUGCAGGGAAGGCCGCCAGCCGGGCACCCUCUUGCCAGGCCCACAGCUCCACUGUCCCAUCUAUCCGGCCCACAGCCACAAUCUUCCCAGUCCUGCGUGUUCUCCUGGAGAGCCGACGCAGGACCUUAUUACCUUGGUGACUUUGAGUCCAUCUGCCUGGAAGAAGGUAAUGCUGCCAGCCCAGCUGCCUGUGGCUACCACCUGCCCCUCUGGGUGGAAGGCAACGCAGUUGAGAGACUUUGGAUGGGUGUACUGAAAAGCCAGCUGUCCUCGGACUGUGUCCCACAGCUGGAGAAGACAAAAAAGGAGAAACCAGGGUAGGUGCUGGACACAAAUGGCCUCUCAGCCCUGGAGCUCCUGGGGGUUAUCUUAUCUAGUCCCCUGAUUCAGCAAGGCUUCCCCAGGACAGGCAGUCAUGCCACGUGGAACAACAAAAUCAGUUUCGGCUCAUGGUUGAGGGUUACUUUUUGUUACCUUUAGGUAUCCUCCCAAACACACAGUGGCCAGCAGGCGGCGGUCUGGGCUCAGGCAGCAGCCAGUGAUUUGGUACUGGUGGGCCUUGGUCUGAAACACCCUGCCCCAGGAAGACCAUGUCAGGGUUCUGGGGUCAUCUGGCAAGUAGGCUCCCUCCUCACUCAUUUCUCUCAGGGCUUCUCACUCAGUCAUGGGAGGUCUUACCAACAACCAUGUUGCAGGUCCCAAAGCUCUAGGUGCCCGUCGAAGGUAGUAAGGAAAAGGGCAGUGUCCGAAAGGAAUGCAAAAGAGGAAAUCCCGUCACAGCCACUCACCACAGCCUUCUCCUCCUGAAACGGCCAGUCGGGAAGUGUGGCUCAGGUGACUCCCAAAUCCAACCCAUUGCAGGCCCCAGCCAUAAAAAGGGGUUUAAGUCCUUGGCUGUCUACAUUCCCAGCCCAAAUACAGGUCCAAGUGCACCUCAUAAUCAAGGCAGGGUGACCUUUUCUCACUCCAAGACCCCAUAGCACAGAUUUUCGGGGCUCUAGGGAAAGGGUGUGACAUGCAUGCAUGUGCACGGGGGUGAUGGGGUGGUUUGAGUCAGAAGAAAAAGCUGUGGCUCUCUCCAGUCUGGUAUUACCCACUGCUGCAAUCACUCACAGCCACGUACAGAACCACUCUCUCCUGUGUCUUUGCUAAGGCUCCCCGUGUAAGGCCUUUCUCCAGCCAAAGUUCUCUUGUAUAUACACAACUCUCAUAGAUGUUAUGAUGUGAACAACUGGA